CUAAUAGGUUUAAUUAGGGAAAACAACUUGCUUCACCUCUCACUUGUGUGGUGACAACCUCGCUUAUGCACAGCCUUAAGUUUUGAGGGAGAGGACAAAUGUGAUUUAGGAGUGGGGUUGGCUGCCUGUCCUAUCCCAGAAUGAGGCGAGUGUUCCCGGUGUGGUGAUGGCCCUGUCCUGGCUUAUGCCGGAAAGCUGUUGUCUCAGGGCAAUUUCCAGAGUCCUGGAGGAUAAUGGCAUUAAUCACAUAUCACGUGACCUUCCAGGCAAGAUGAACAUUUGUUGCGCUGCUGCAUUUGCCUUCACUCUUAGUUCUGGUUAUGUCUUUUACUCCUCAGCUGCAUGGCUCAAGAAUUCAGUUCAGAAGCCUUCUGCAUGACUGGUACACGGUAAUUUGGUGACUGAGUAGCAGCAAGGUCUGUAAGGCAACUGCUGCUUUGGAUUGCUGUCCUUUGAUGUGCUAAGGAGCCUGAGAGAGCAAUAGCUUCUGGGCCCAGGAAGCAAUGCAUAUUUACUGUGAUGGACACACUGCUCAAAAUUCCUGGAGUCUGAAAACUUGCAGACUGCAUUCCUCAUCGCUCUGCUCCAGCAUGUAUCUUGCUUUUUUGGCCUAUUUUGUAAUCUGCAUGAAUAAUUGGCUCUCAUGUUGCACCUAUAUAAAGAGAUGCUUCUUCGAUAUCUGGAAAUGCAGUAAUGAGUGCUGAAGUGCUGCCAUCACCAUGGCACAUCAGGGAAAGUUUGAUGUGAUCACAUGGGUGAGCUUUCCACCCAAGUUUUAUUCUUAGAUUUGUUUUUCACUUUCACUCUGAUUUGGUUAUAUUUGAAUUUUUGGCAAAUGCUGUUAGCAAAGUUAAAAUCUGAAACAGCAAUCUAAAUCACAGAGCAAAGUGUGCUUUGCAUAAACAGAUAAAUAGCAGAGCUUAAAGUAUAAGGAGUGCUUUCUUUUCACUGAAAGAGUGACAUCAUUGCAAGCUGUUCUCACUGGUGGAAGGCCAAGAGAGAGUGGGUAACAGUUGAAAUGAGAGAAGUUCACAUUGGUUACAAGGGUAAAGUGUUUUCACUCUGAGGACAGACAGCUGGGUAGGGGCACAGGUUGCCUGGGAAGGCUGUGCUGUCUCCAUCGCUGGGAGUUUUCAGGACCUGACUGAAAAAAGCCCUGAGCUGGAUCUCACAGCUGACCCUACUUGGAGCAGAAGCCUGGACCAGAGACCUCACGAGGUUCCUCCUAGCCUGAACAAAUUUAUGAUCCAUUAAAAAACACUUGAAUUUAGAGAGCUUUUCAUGCUGGGAAAAAGAAUAAAACUGGAAGGGUUAAGUGGCA
rnacentral:lncRNA from 1 species